GACGAACGCUGGCGGCGUGCCUAAUACAUGCAAGUAGAACGCACAGUUUAUACCGUAGCUUGCUACACCAUACACUGUGAGUUGCGAACGGGUGAGUAACGCGUAGGUAACCUGCCUGGUAGCGGGGGAUAACUAUUGGAAACGAUAGCUAAUACCGCAUAAUAUUGAUUAUUGCAUGAUAAUUGAUUGAAAGAUGCUAUUGCAUCACUACCAGAUGGACCUGCGUUGUAUUAGCUAGUAGGUGAGGUAACGGCUCACCUAGGCGACGAUACAUAGCCGACCUGGGAGGGUGAUCGGCCACACUGGGACUGAGACACGGCCCAGACUCCUACGGGAGGCAGCAGUAGGGAAUCUGCGGCAAUGGACGAAAGUCUGACCGAGCAACGCCGCGUGAGUGAAGAAGGUUUUCGGAUCGUAAAGCUCUGUUGUAAGAGAAGAACGGGUGUGAGAGUGGAAAGUUCACACUGUGACGGUAUCUUACCAGAAAGGGACGGCUAACUACGUG
rnacentral:rRNA from 1 species